GGGGUGUUCUUUUAUGGCUGUGCAAAAGGAUGCAAGAAGCCUCAGGAAAUGAGGGGAAAAUAUUUAAAUCAUGGAGAUGCAGAGAUAUUGCAACCUACAUUUACUGCACUCAAAAGUUCAAUAAAUAUGGUCGCUACAUCUCAAUAAUAGCUAUUAAGGGCCUGAACAAAACAAUCAUUUUUCUUCCACAGACUUAUUUUAAUGAGGG
rnacentral:misc_RNA from 1 species